ensembl:lncRNA
UUAGAAACGAGCCUAUGAACAACAGUGAGACUGACAAACGCAGGCAACAGCACUGGACAGCCAUGCAGGCGAAGGUAACACAACACACAGUUUCAGCUGUUAUAUACUGAAUCCUCUGUCCCUCUCAUUUCUCCCCUUUCCUAACUAGUUAAAAUGGAGCCAAACACACACACAGAGUUUCUGCUGUUACAUCCUGUGAACUCUUCCCCUCUAAUCUCUCUGCUUUCCUCCCCGAUUAAGACAGGGCCUUUAAACAACAGUGAGACGGACUACCCCAGAAGGCAGCACUUGACAGCCAUUGCCAGUGAAGGAAUCAUAUUUUAUGCAGUGCUGGUGAAAUGGACAAUCAGACAUGUCAGCUGUUGUUUCAUUGGAUGUCUUGUGGAAUCUGUCCAUUCUUUUGAAAUAAUGUGGAUUGUCCUGCAUGUCCAGGCCUGCUCUGAAAUUAAAUAGGUAUGAUAUCAGGCUCCUAUUGCACAGCAAUACUGUAGCCUACCCAUACUGUAAAAUAUUUGUUAUAUUUACAGGUCUAUUUUACUUUCGAGCAUGGUUGGCUAUUGAAUGAGCGAUGUUAAGACAGUACACAUAUUUUCCCAGGUUUUUAAGUCCGACCCCCCCCCCCCCCCCAUUAAAUCAAGUUAAGGAGGAAACCAAUGUCUUUGCCGCCUGAAUGGAGGAUGUUUUAUGUACGAACCGGACGCGGGGGUUAGGAGUGUAUUGCACAAGGCCAGACGAUGUAAACCUUGGCAGAACCAUUGGGGCUAGUAGACAGCUGUACAAAACACAAGUUACACACAUAUUUUAAAACACAGACACAUUUUAUGAUUAAAAACCAGACUGGAUUUGGUUAAAAAUGUUACAUAUAAAGAAACUGCAUUGGUAGACAAAAUAUUAAAUAAAUAAAAGCAAAAAGGACAUCGGACAAAAAGUUGUUUCGUUCUCCACAGUCUCCAUUGACAAUAAUCACAUUUGACAUUAAUACUGUUGAUAAAUUAAUACAGUUAAAAUAACUGUUAAUAGUUGACAUUUUCAGUACGUCUAAAUGUGUAUGUGUGUAUGUUUAUAAAUGCAUGCAGGUGUUACAGAUUAACCAUGGCAGAAUGAGCCAGGAUUCAAAUGAUCCUUUUCAUUUUGCAUGUGGAGUUUUAGUUUGAGUUGAUACUAAAUCCAAGGUUGGGGUAUGCAGUUUUGUUCAGUUUUCAUUUGACAAAGAGUGUAUGUUAAUUUGAGGUUAACUUUAAGCUAGUUCUUUUUUCAUUUUUUUUUUAGUUAGGCCUACUGUUAAAUUGACAUGACAGGAUACAAAAACAACAUAAAAACAAAGCAUGAUUAGAGAAUACUUCUAGUUGCAGACCCACUGUUCCACACAAAAAAUCUACACCUAACACAGAGCCAUGCCUUCCCUCUGCUCUCCAACCAUGCACCAAAUACACUUGCACUAACACAGAGGUCAGACAAAUUCCAGCACAUAACAAUCUCUAGUACAAUGCAUGCUCUCAUGUUUUUACGUGCCAGAAUGAGAGUAUUUUUUUGCAGAUUUGUUAAAAUUGCACAAAUAUCUGAAAAGUACAGUGAUGGGGGAACACUUUAUUUUUUUGCAAUGAUCGUUUUUAUCCGAAUAAAAAGUUCCCUUUCAAAAUCGGAUGAAUCAAUCUGCAAGUAUAAACAAAACAAAUAAAUGUCAAAAGGAGACAUUCAAAAGAAGUGCUUCAAAAGUGAAUGCAAACAAUACAGUAAAACAACUGUCAGUAUAGUUAUCAUGGCAUCAAAAUAAACAGCAUAAAUUGCCUUAAACAUGCAAUUCAAGAGAGAAAGCCAAAUAAACGUGGCUUAUGCAGUCGCUGUUUUUCCAAAAGAAUAGAGCACUGCUGGUUUUUACUAAGAUAUACUGGGGCACUGCUUUGAUUACAACUACGGUCUCCUUUUCACUGCCUCGGUUGUGGGAUAAACUUACAAAGCCAACCAGACCUACAGUCUACACACAUUUCAGGAAAGAAAACCGGAAGAAUGCAGCGACAAACACAGGCAAAGGUUCAGGAGCUACAGGGGUCAAUACGGGAGGCUUGGCUAAAAAGUAUUGGCAUUAAAAGAAAAGGAGUUAAGUUUGAUAAUCUGCACGGGGGGGGGGGGGGGGACAACUGUGCACAACACAGGUCAAAGGCACAACACUGGACACGACAAAGGGAAAUAGAACAACCUCUGGGAGCUUUGAAAAAGGCCCAGAGAGGAGAAGGUGUCUAUCUAUCAGACAGUCAGGCAUUCUUCUAGCAGCACAGUCUGUGCACUACUGCACUUUUGUCCCAGUUUCGUAUUAGAAUUGCACAACAUCCACUCCAAGAGGAGAAAUAAAAGUCACAGCAACAUUGUCACAGCUCUAGAGUCUGAUAAAACAGUCAUGGAGCAUGACAACAGCACAGGUAAUUAUUUGUGUGUUUUUAAGCCGAACGCUUUCUUAAAUCAUGCUGAUAUAACAUAAUUGCACCAAAUAUUCAUUAUACACAGGAAAAGGUGUAUGGAUUUUGUGACGCCAGUAAAACAAAAAUGAUGUGAUAUUGGUUACCUGUGGGGUACUUCUUUUAAGUACACAGUCAGAUUGACCGAAUAAAUGUAACUUUUCAGAAGUAUUACAAAUGGGGUAAUGCCAGGAUUUACUCCUGGGACAAUGAUAUGUGAAUAAUAAGAGGUAUACACCAGACAAGCUAGGUACCCAUCACUGUUGGUUGGCACAGAGGGAUGUGACACUGUGAGAAACAAGGUAUCAUUUCCUUAUUUUCCCCCAAUGUAACAAAUCGAAAGCUGAAGUCCAUGCAGAAUUUUCAGUACCCAAUGUUCCUGUGGUUACGUCUACUCUAUAAAAAGAUCCAAACGUAUGCAUUUAAAACCUUCCUUUCAGCAUUCUCUAGAAUUAACACAGUAAAUACUGCAAAAUGUUAAGCAAAGCUGUUAACUGAAUGUACACCAAGGUGUGUAAACAGGCAAAUGCAGAGUGAGUGACAUUUGGCAUGAAAAUGAAACAACGCCAGAGGGAAAGGGGGCCCUAGGCUUUGAGGCAUCAUACAGAUGGAUACAAGUCCAACAGGGUCACAAGACCACUGUAUAGGACACAUACCAUCUUUCGAUGUCAAAUAAAAGCUUAUUCAAUAACCCGUCUCUUUAAUCUCCAAUUACAAUUCUAAGAUAUGCAAGAGAACAUAAUAGUAUAUCUACGAGAAGGAUCAUUUGAAAGGGUUAUAAAGUAACAAGAAAAAUCUACUUAGAAGUUGUGUCGCUGAAAAACUGGGUCGCUGAUCAUAAUUUCAAUCAUUGAUGAAUAGCAGAGGCACUACAUACACAAACGUACACCUUUGUCAUUGGGGGAAACAUUUCAGGAAAAUUGGUUUAGGAGUGAUAUUUCCUCGCUCAACGGAAUAGAACUCACCAUACUACACAAAUAUAACAACUAUGAAACAGAAAUGAAUAACUACAUCAUUUGCAUUAAGUUUUUUUCUCCAUAUAAUUUCAUUAUAUAUAGAUUUAUAUUCCUCACAUGCCUGACAAUUGUGUACAUGUGUGUGGUUUAGUCUUUUAAGUUGUGUGUUUUCUUUUGCACUGAAACAUCCUUAGUACGGCUGUAAGAAAAUAUGUGCCCUCCUGGUGAGAAAGGACUUUGACCCGAGCCAAAAAGAAAAUGUGUGUGAUGGAUGCUCAGCAGUGGAAGUCACUGAUGAACUAUGGUGGGGUGGAGCCUCUGUUAGACAAGGGUCUGUAUCUCCCCACUAUCGUAUGGUCUUAUUGGGCAAGAGUUGCUGUGAGAGCAGGACUGACUGCACAAGAAGACCAAAAGAGAGAUGCUGUAGAACAGGGGUGUUCAAAUUUUACCCAACGAGGUCCGGACUACUGCUGGCUUUCUGUUCUACCUGAUUAUUAAUUGCACCCACCUGGUGUCCCAGGUUAAAAAUCAGUCCACGAUUAGAGGGGAAGAAAAACAAAAAAAAGCAGUAGAACUGGCUUUGAGGUCCAGAUUUGAAUUUGAGGGCUGUAGAAUAUUCCUGUGACUUACUUCUCUGUCCUUAGCCCCACCUCUCGGCUUUCAGCCUCCCAAGCAACUAUGAACUGCCUUAGCGCUCCAGCUGUGGAGAUGUAAGGACUAGGAGUGGAGGUCAAAGGGUGAGCUAUGUUGCUUAUAGCAUCCUCUCACCCCAUAGGUGAAUCUUCAGGGUUGUAGAAGGGGGCAGGUCACAGUCAGUAGAUUUUUCCGCUUUCUUUUUUUGUCCUUUGAAAGUCCUGAGGAGAUUUCCACCGAGUCAACAAAGCCAGACAGAAAAGGAAACGGCUCCCCAUUAGCUGUGUGAUCACCUGAAUGAGGACAGUGACAAUGAUUUAUCUCUGUGUGGAUGUAGAUGGGGGCUAUGAUCAGGGGCAAAACCGGAAUCUUCAAAAUCAAACUUAUGACAAAAGGUAUUACAGUUAAUAAUAAAUACUCUAUUGUCAUCUCUUCAGAAUCCCUCAAAAUGUUCACACAAAUAUAACUGAGAAUAAGAAAUGGCAAUGGGGUUAUGUUGUAGCACUGUAGGCGAGGAGGAUGGGAACCCCCUCCACUGUGGAAAGGCACACCCAGAGGAGGGGGAGGUGAAAGGGGGAGUGGGGCUGGUGGUGGAAGGGGUAAAGAUAUGAACCAUGGCUGAGGUGGUGCAGGAGACGUCAAGAAAUGUCACAUGAGCUGAGAAGGGUGA